rnacentral:rRNA from 1 species
GCGGUCCCAAAAGGGUCAGUGCUGCAACAUUUUGCUGCCGGUCACGGUUCGAACGUACGGACGUCCAGCUGCUAAGCAUCCACUUGGACGCCUUCCUAGUGAUGACUCAAAU